rnacentral:rRNA from 1 species
GACGAACGCUGGCGGCGUGCCUAACACAUGCAAGUCGAACGGAGUAAGUAGUAAUACUUACUUAGUGGCGAACGGGUGAGUAACGCGUAGAUAACCUGCCUCUAAACUGGGGACAACACAGCGAAGGUGGUGCUAAUACCGAAUGUGGUAACUUGGCUGCAUGGCGGAGUUAAGAAAGGUGGCCUCUAUUUAUAAGCUACCGUGUAGAGAUGGGUCUGCGGCCGAUUAGCUAGUUGGUGAGGUAAAAGCUCACCAAGGCGACGAUCAGUAGCCGGUCUGAGAGGAUGAACGGCCACACUGGGACUGAGACACGGCCCAGACUCCUACGGGAGGCAGCGGUGGGGAAUCUUCCGCAAUGGACGAAAGUCUGACGGAGCAACGCCGCGUGAGUGAAGAAGGUUUUCGGAUCGUAAAGCUCUGUCGUUUGGGACGAACGUGUUCUUUGUGAAUAAUGAGGAACAAUGACGGUACCAAAGGAGGAAGCCACGGCUAACUACGUGCCAGCCGCCGCAGUAA